rnacentral:rRNA from 1 species
UGGCGGACGGGAUGAAUAACGAGUAAAAGAACUUGCCUCACAGUUGGGACAACAUUUAGAAAAUGAUGCUAAUCCCCUGAUAUUAUGAUUUUAGGGCAUCCCUAGGAUUAUGAAAAGCUAUAUGCACUGUGAGAGAGCUUUGCGUCCCAUUAGCUAGUUGGAGAGGUAACGGCUCACCAAGACGAUGAUGGGUAACCGGCCUGAGAGGGUGAUCGGCCACAAGGGGACUGAGACACGGCCCUUACUCCUACGGGAGGCAGCAGUGGGGAAUAUUGGACAAUGGACCAAGAGUCUGAUCCAGCAAUUCUGUGUGCACGAUGAAGUUUUUCGGAAUGUAAAGUGCUUUCAGUUGGGAAGAAAAAAAUGACGGUACCAACAGAAGAAGUGACGGCUAAAUACGUGCCAGCAGCCGCGGUAAUACGUAUGUCACAAGCGUUAUCCGGAUUUAUUGGGCGUAAAGCGCGUCUAGGUGGUUAUGUAAGUCUGAUGUGAAAAUGCAGGGCUCAACUCUGUAUUGCGUUGGAAACUGUGUAACUAGAGUACUGGAGAGGUAAGCGGAACUACAAGUGUAGAGGUGAAAUUCGUAGAUAUUUGUAGGAAUGCCGAUGGGGAAGCCAGCUUACUGGACAGAUACUGACGCUGAAGCGCGAAAGCGUGGGUAGCAAACAGG